GUAAGUAGAUAAAUCAGAAAGA
rnacentral:miRNA from 11 species